UCCUGCGCCUCUUCAGGUCAUCGCUUGCUGUCGUUCCCAGGCUUUGGCCUCUAGUGGACGAGAAUCACCGAGUCUGCGGGGCUGGACGCUGACCGCCCGGGCCAGCACCUAGGCGGGCGGGAGCUGUGCGGCCCAGGGUUCGCGCGGGCCGGGUAGAGGCUCGAGCCGGGACCCCCGAGCGUGAACCCCGGAGCCGGCGGCGCUGGGGCCAGAGGGGCCGGGCGGGAGGUGGUGGCGGAGGCGAAGGGGCGACAGGACCUGGGCCUGGCCCGUGUGUGUUCUCAGCGGCCUGGCGCCAGCCGUCGCUGUACGGUGAGCCCCAGGGAGGCGGAUCUGGGCCCCGAGAAGGACACCCGCCUGGAUUUGCCCCGUAGGCCCGGCCCGGGCCCCUCGGGAGCAGAACAGCUUUGGUGAGGUGGACAGGAGGGGACCUCGCGAGCAGACGCGCGCGCCAGCGACAGCAGCCCUCCCCGGCCUCUCGGGAGCCGUGGGGCAGAGGCUGCGGAGCCCCAGGAGGGCCAGAGCCCUCAUGACUUCAGUGACCUGCUUCUGCCCCUCUAGGUCUAUCAGCCACAGUCUCUGCAAGUUUCCAAGAGCAGCAGAAAAUGAACACAUUGCAGGGGCCAGUGUCAUUCAAAGAUGUGGCUGUGGAUUUCACCCAGGAGGAGUGGCAGCAACUGGACCCUGAUGAGAAGAUAGCAUACGGGGAUGUGAUGUUGGAGAACUACAGCCAUCUAGUUUCUGUGGGGUAUGAUUAUCACCAAGCCAAACAUCAUCAUGGAGUGGAGGUGAAGGAAGUGGAGCAGGGAGAGGAGCCAUGGAUAAUGGAAAGUGAAUUUCCAUGUCAACAUAGUCCAGGACAAAGCAGUUCCAAUUCCAGAGAAAAUGAGUGAAUGGGCACCUCGACCUCCCCCAGAAUUUGUCCGAGAUGUCAUGGGUUCAAGUGCUGGGGCCGGCAGUGGAGAGUUCCACGUGUACAGACAUCUGCGCCGGAGAGAAUACCAGCGACAGGACUACAUGGAUGCCAUGGCUGAGAAGCAAAAAUUGGAUGCAGAGUUUCAGAAAAGACUGGAAAAGAAUAAAAUUGCUGCAGAGGAGCAGACCGCAAAGCGCCGGAAGAAGCGCCAGAAGUUAAAAGAGAAGAAAUUACUGGCAAAGAAGAUGAAACUUGAACAGAAGAAACAAGAAGGACCCGGUCAGCCCAAGGAGCGGGGGUCCAGCAGCUCUGCGGAGGCAUCUGGAACAGAGGAGGAGGAGGAAGUGCCCAGUUUCACCAUGGGGCGAUGACAAUGUUUGCCACAGCCUCUGCCUGGAACCUGGCUCGUGCUGUGACCAGAAGGGAAAGGCGGCUGUUUGGCUCUUUCUCCCCCGCAAGGACCCGCUGACCCGCUGGAUGGAGAGCAAAGGAGACCCCUCCCGAGCCGCUCACAGUCCUGCAUUUGGCAGGUUUGGGAGCCUGAGGGGCCAUCUCCCUGACACUCAGAGGCACUGCCUUGCAGACACCAUCCGUGCUCCUGGUAAAGGGGGACAGAGAGCCUCACCUUGCCACAUAUUUGAACAGUGAUGAGUUUGGGGCUGGUUUCUGGGAAGGGAAUGUUUAUUUAGUAAAGAGCAGAACACCCUUG
rnacentral:sRNA from 1 species